rnacentral:lncRNA from 1 species
UGGCUCCGGAGGGCACAGCAUACUCCAAUAAGAGGGAUGGCGCCUUAGAGGCAUAUGUUCGACCAUUUAAUAACUUUCCUAGUGCUUAUCAGAGGUGACUUCACUCUUUCUCCUAGGAUGUUUUCUAAGCCAAGUUCACCUACGAUCUCACACACGCGCUGUUGAGGUGUAAUGUUACAGACAUGGUGAUUUACAACGCAGAUAUAUUACCCCAGAUCCUCCAGGUGUUGGAGAAGGGCCCUCCUGACAACUUGAUUCCGUGUCUUCCUCUGUUGAAUUGGAUUUAUCUUACCUUCUUUCACUAAGCCCCCGGGGCUCUUUAUCUCUCAGCUCAUCUGAAUUUUUUCCCCAGGUAAGGUCUCAUUCUUGCAGGGCCAGGUGGACACAAACUCAGCCAGGGUCAGUAACGGAAAGUAUUCAAACUGCACCCACUCCCCCUCAGUGGCAAGACUCCCGUGCUGCCUGGCUUCCAUGAAGAAUCUGGCACAGAAUACUGAACUUGCGGACAAAGCCCUGUGUGC